GGCCUCAGCCCUGAGGGUUUGAAGCGCGUGUAAACCAAACCGCAGCCCUGGACCGAAUCUGACCCGUGGCCGGUCUCCACCGCACCUACCAGACGUUUCUCACUAUCCUGCACCUCCCUACCCUGUCUCAUUGCCUCCUCCACCUCCCUUCACUUCCCAGCCCUGAAUGAUUGCUAAAGCACCUCUACCUGGAG
rnacentral:lncRNA from 1 species